rnacentral:lncRNA from 1 species
GUAGUGUGCGCUGCCCUGGUGAGAUUGACAUGGCAUCUCAUCUCAGUGGAAGGCGGCACAAGGAAAAUGUGCAAGAGCAACAACAGAACGCAAGUAAGGCUCCAAUGAAGAAUGAUCCACCUCUGUGGUGCAGUAUUUGUCGUGUGCACUGCACUGGUGAGAUUAACAUGGAAUCUCAUCUCAGUGGAAGGAAGCACAAGGAAAAUGUGCAAGAGCAACAACAGAACGCAAGUAAGGCUCCAAUGAAGAAUGAUCCACUUCUGUGGUGCAGUAUUUGUCGUGUGCGCUGCACUGGUGAGAUUGACAUGGCAUCUCAUCUCAGUGGAAGGAAGCACAAGGAAUAUGUGCAAGAGCAACAACAGAACGCAAAAAAGACUCCAAGGAAGAAUGAGCCACCUUUAUGGUGCAAAGUUUGUAGUGUGGGCUGCUCUGGUCAGAUUACCUUGGCAUCUCAUCUCAAUGGAAACAAGCAUAAGGAGAAAGUGCAAGAACAGCAGAAUACAAAGAAGAAUGGGCCAGCUCUAUGGUGCAAAAUUUGUAAUGUGGGCUGCUCUGGUCAGAUUACCUUGGCAUCUCAUCUCAAUGGAAAUAAGCAUAAGGAGAAAGUGCAAGAACAGCAGAAUACAAGGUCUAUGGUGCAAAAUUUGUAGUGUGGGCAGCUCUGGUCAGAUUACCUUG